GGCCUCCUGGUGUUUACCACUGGCUGUGUUCUUAAACACUGACCAUAUAGAAAGAGGUAGAGUAACCUACCCCAUAUACACCUCAGCCCAGGCCCUGUGCCUUGUCUGUAUCGGGAAUGGGGAGACAGGG
rnacentral:snoRNA from 1 species